ACACGACUACAUUAGAUACCCGUGUAGUCCUAGCCGUAAACGAUACUCGCUAGGUGUCGGCCACGGUGCGACCGUUGUCGGUGCCGUAGGGAAGCCGUGAAGCGAGCCACCUGGGAAGUACGGCCGCAAGGCUAGAAACUUAAAGGAAUUGGCGGGGGAGCACAACAACGGGUGGAGCUUGCGGUUUAAUUGGACUCAACGCCGGAAAUCUUACCGGGACCGACAGCAACAUGAAGGCCAGGCUGAAGACUUUGCCGGAUUAGCUG
rnacentral:rRNA from 1 species